UUCAGGCCCAGCUCUCGCGUUUCCCCAUGAAAGGAUCAGCAGAUAAAAGUCAAGGUGCAAAGCAAAGCCGAGACAAAGAUCAGAUAAUCUUAGGUCUUUGAGGGAGGAAACUUCUUUAGAUGACAGGAGGAAGUGAGGCGGCAGCAGGAGGAGGAGGAGGAGCAAGAGGAAACAUCAAAGACAAGAGAAUGAGUUUGACCUCUGCAGGAGAAGUCAGAAUUGGGUUGACCUCUGACAUCACUAAAGAUACAGUUACUUAGAGGCUCUUUAUUAACACUUAAUCUGAGGUGGUUAUUUGCCUCCUUUCACUUUGCAGGUUCUUUAACUCUAGUUUGACCUUUUCUUGUAAUUAUUAGGAUUUUUUUUGCAAGGAUUUGGUUCAAAUCUCAAUUUUGGGUUUUGUUGUUUGGUUCGAUAUAUUUGUGUAUUGCCAAAAGUGUGAUUAAUUUGAUUAAUAUUUUUAACCAAUUGACAGCACUAGUUUUAACUAGUUUUACUAGUUUGCUGUAGGGAUUUCCUUUCCUUACAGUUCAAUUUAACCAUAACCUACGGUUCAGGUUUGAACUGACAAUUGGGCCAUCCCUCGUAAUUAUGUGUCAUCUCAAUCUCCCACUCAGUUUACAUGUUUUAUAAAUGAAUAAAACUGAAGCAAAGUGGUGUUUUUGGUAUAUUUGGUAUGACAUUUUCUGGUUUAACAAAACCCGACCAAAAACAAAAUUAAAAAGUCACUUUUUUCUUUCAACACUUUGAUCACAGAUCUUGUUAAGUAGCUGCAUUAAAGGUGAAAGAUGAUUUGUUUCACCUCUUAAUUUGGAAGCCAGUACAUUAACUUGCUUCCUUGUGCACUUUCAGUUCCUUACACAUGGGAGCUUUGACACAUAAAUGUAGGUUAGAUUUAAGUUUAAUGAGGACGAUGUAUUCUAACUCAUUUUUUUAUUUCCUACGUCAUGUCCACUUCCCUAAGCUGUCAUUAAACUUGGAUUUACAGUCCUAAUAUAAGUUAUUACGGUGGCUAGGAGAGCUCAACAAGUUGCAAAUUAAAAUAUCAAGUCGCAUGUGCUGAACAAGAACACUGAACAUCUCCCUUACAAAAAAUAAAAAAUAAAA